AUUGAACGCUGGCGGCAGGCCUAACACAUGCAAGUCGAACGGUAACAGGAAGCAGCUUGCUGCUUCGCUGACGAGUGGCGGACGGGUGAGGAAUGUCUGGGAAACUGCCUGAUGGAGGGGGAUAACUACUGGAAACGGUAGCUAAUACCGCAUAACGUCGCAAGACCAAAGAGGGGGACCUUAGGGCCUCUUGCCAUCGGAUGUGCCCAGAUGGGAUUAGCUAGUAGGCGGGGUAACGGCUCACCUAGGCGACGAUCCCUAGCUGGUCUGAGAGGAUGACCAGCCAUACUGGAACUGAGACACGGUCCAGACUCCUACGGGAGGCAGCAGUGGGGAAUAUUGCACAAUGGGCGCAAGCCUGAUGCAGCCAUGCCGCGUGUAUGAAGAAGGCCUUCGGGUUGUAAAGUACUUUCAGCGGGGAGGAAGGGAGUAAAGUUAAUACCUUUGCUCAUUGACGUUACCCGCAGAAGAAGCACCGGCUAACUCCGUG
rnacentral:rRNA from 1 species